CGGCGCAACAGUGUCAUUGUCAUGGAAGAAGUUGACCGAGUUUCGAAAUCAGUGGAAUGCCCGGUGAAAGCAGAGAGAUGAUUGCCAAAUUUGGAGAGAGUCCUAAAAGAGAACACAGAAAGACUGUUGUAACAUCAGUCUCCGGAUUACAUCUUUAAACUAACGGGAAACCAUGGCAUCCAGAAGGAGAAGCGUUCAACACGUACUAUAUACCGGAGCUCUAGAAAGAGGUCACCGUUCCCAAGUUGGAAUUCCAAGGUGGAUGACUGUACAAAUCGAUUUUUCCCAAUUUGGGCAUUGUCUCGACAAAGCAGUAUAUCCUUCACGUCGGACUCAUAUUAAAGAAAAACUCUUCAUCCAGUUCGAG
ensembl:lncRNA